CAGGAUCCAGUGCAACUUUUUCUUCUUGGGCACCCAGCGAAGCGAAUCAACUUACUCCUCCAGAGGUUCCUUGGGAUUGCCAGAUAAAUGAAGUGAAGCUCCCUGAGGUGAAGUGGGUAAAGUAAGCAGGACCUAAACUAGGAAACAGGUCUCAAACUAUGCUGUCUGCAAUGAGGGGUGUUGUUGGCUGGAAUACUCUACCACUUCAUUAGCACAGGCUCCGGACGUGCAGGCUCAGCGGCCAUGGCUCACGGGCCCAGCCGCUCCGCGGCAUGUGGGAUCUUCCCGAACCGGGGCACGAACCCGUGUCCCCUGCAUCGGCAGGCAGACUCUCAACCACUGCGCCACCAGGGAAGCCCCUACCGGCAUUUUUUUAAAUGAAGCUAAAAAGAAAGUGACCCUUAGCAUGGUCAAGCAACUUUCCCAGGAUAACAUGGCUACUGGACAAUGGAGCAAGAUUUUGGCCUGACCUCCCACACUAUUAACCACUCUGCCACGGGAGCAGGAAAAUGGGUACUCCACUCACAUGCUGUGCUCUAAGCAUAUCAGUUGGUAGACGCUUUCUGGAAGGCUUUGACUCCAACCUCUGAAAAUGCUUCAAUUCAAUGAAGCUAAUGGCACUUUGGUCUCCAGCAUUAGAUCCUGUUAUCAAUGACUUCCACAUGGAAAGAUUAUUCCAAAAUGUGUGAUUAACCAAGAAAAUGCAAAUAAACCAAUUUGUACCUGCUAUUUAGA